rnacentral:lncRNA from 13 species
UACAUAUUCUUUAUCCCUUUACACUUGUGUGUGUAUAAGGUAGUAGUUUUGGAAUUGUUAGGCAAGAUUACUCGUUGGUUAUUACUGCAUUGUCGGAACUAGAAGCACAAGCAUUUCGCUACAGGAAUGACUAUGGUAGAAACAGGACCUGUCACUGGGCAGGGCAGGGACUCAGGGAGAAUGACUAUGGUAGAAACAGGACCUGUCACUGGGCAGGGCAGGGACUCAGGGAGAAUGACUAUGGUAGAAACAGGACCUGUCACUGGGCAGGGCAGGGACUCAGGAGGAAUGACUAUGGUAGAAACAGGACCUGUCACUGGGCAGGGCAGGGACUCAGGAGGAAUGACUAUGGUAGAAACAGGACCUGUCACUGGGCAGGGCAGGGCAGGGACUCAGGAGGAAUGACUAUGGUAGAAACAGGACCUGUCACUGGGCCAGAUCAAAAAGGGUAACACCCACAAAUAUGGUUGAAACUCAACAAAGGACCUUAGUGACAAUGAUUCAUAUAUAGAUGCAGCUUCUCCUUCAGAUUCAUCUAUGAUGAGUUCCAGAAACCAACCAGUUUCAAGCUGAAGGCAAUGUGCUUUUGNNNNNNNNNNNNNNNNNNNNNNNUGGGUGAAUUUUGGCCCAUUCCUCCUGACAGAGCUGGUGUAACUGAGUCAGGUUUGUAGGCCUCCUUGCUCGCACACACUUUUUCAGUUCUGCCCACACAUUUUCUAUAGGAUUGAGGUCAGGGCUUUGUGAUGGCCACUCCAAUACCUUGCCUUUGUUGUCCUUAAGCCAUUUUGCCACAACUUUGGAAGUAUGCUUGGGGUCAUUGUCCAUUUGGAAGACGCAUUUGCGACCAAGCUUUAACUUCCUGACUAAUGUCUUGAGAUGUUGCUUCAAUAUAUCCACAUAAUUUCCCCACCUCAUGAUGCCAUCUAUUUUGUGAAGUGCACCAGUCCCUCCUGCAACAAAGCAGUCCCACAACAUGAUGCUCCCACCCCCACAACAUGAUGCUGCCACCCCCACAACAUGAUGCUGCUACCCCCACAACAUGAUGCUGCUACCCCCACAACAUGCUGCUGCUACCCCCACAACAUGAUGCUGCUACCCCNNNNNNNNNNACUGGGCAGGGCAGGGCAGGGACUCAGGAGGAAUGACUAUGGUAGAAACAGGACCUGUCACUGGGCAGGGCAGGGCAGGGACUCAGGAGGAAUGACUAUGGUAGAAACAGGACCUGUCACUGGGCAGGGCAGGGCAGGGACUCAGGAGGAAUGACUAUGGUAGAAACAGGACCUGUCACUGGGCCAGAUCAAAAAGGGUAACACCCACAAAUAUGGUUGAAACUCAACAAAGGACCUUAGUGACAAUGAUUCAUAUAUAGAUGCAGCUUCUCCUUCAGAUUCAUCUAUGAUGAGUUCCAGAAACCAACCAGUUUCAAGCUGAAGGCAAUGUGCUUUUGCAGAUGGAUGUGGAGAUAUUAAAGCUAGAACAGGUUCUGAACCUGAAUGUGUAGACCCUGAGGGUAAUAGACAUACAGUUGGUCAGAAGUUUACAUACAUCUUAGCCAAAUACAUUUAAACUCAGUUUUUUUCCCCGUUUUACAAUUCCUGAUAUUUAAUCCUCAUAACAAUUCCCUAUCUUAGGUCACUUUAUUUUAAGAAUGUAAAAUGUCAGAAUAAUAGUAGAGAGAAUGAUGCAUUUCAGCUUUUAUUUCUUUCAUCGCAUUCCCAGUGGGUCAGAAGUUUACAGACACUCAACUAGUAUUUGGUAGCAUUGCCUUUAAAUUGUUUAACUUGGGUCAAACAUUUCAGGUAGCCUUCCACAAGCUUCCCACAAUAAAUUGGGUGAAUUUUGGCCCAUUCCUCCUGACAGAGCUGGUGUAACUGAGUCAGGUUUGUAGGCCUCCUUGCUCGCACACACUUUUUCAGUUCUGCCCACACAUUUUCUAUAGGAUUGAGGUCAGGGCUUUGUGAUGGCCACUCCAAUACCUUGCCUUUGUUGUCCUUAAGCCAUUUUGCCACAACUUUGGAAGUAUGCUUGGGGUCAUUGUCCAUUUGGAAGACGCAUUUGCGACCAAGCUUUAACUUCCUGACUAAUGUCUUGAGAUGUUGCUUCAAUAUAUCCACAUAAUUUCCCCACCUCAUGAUGCCAUCUAUUUUGUGAAGUGCACCAGUCCCUCCUGCAACAAAGCAGUCCCACAACAUGAUGCUCCCACCCCCACAACAUGAUGCUGCCACCCCCACAACAUGAUGCUGCUACCCCCACAACAUGAUGCUGCUACCCCCACAACAUGCUGCUGCUACCCCCACAACAUGAUGCUGCUACCCC